rnacentral:misc_RNA from 1 species
GAUGAAGAACGUAGCGAAAUGCGAUAAGUAAUGUGAAUUGCAGAAUUCAGUGAAUCAUCGAAUCUUUGAACGCACAUUGCGCCCCUUGGUAUUCCGAGGGGCAUGCCUGUUCGAGCGUCAUUAUAACCCCUCAAGCUCAGCUUGGUGUUGGGGCCUGCUGCACUGGCAGCCCUUAAAAUCAGUGGCGGCGCCAUCUGGCUCUAAGCGUAGUAAUUCUUCUCGCUAUGGAGUCCUGGUGGAUGCUUGCCAUCAACCCCCAACUUUCUAUGGUUGACCUCGGAUCAGGUAGGGAUACCCGCUGAACUUAAGCAUAUCAAUAAGCGGAGGA